rnacentral:rRNA from 1 species
UUUUGGUUCACUAGACCGUGUUACAGUUUCUGUCUUGGAUAACUGUGGUAAUUCUACAGCUAAUACAUGCAACAAAGUUUUAACCAGUUUUAUUGGGAGAAACGCUUUUAUUAGAUCAAAAUCAAUCCCCCUGGUUUUACCGGUCCGUUACUUUGGUGACUCUCAAUAACCACGUAGAUCGCAUGGUCUUGUACCGGCCACUUAUCUUUCAAAUGCCUGACUUAUCAACUGUCGAUGGUAGACUCUNUGUCUACCAU